UGCAGUCGAGCGGCAGCGACAUGAUAGAUACGCUUCGGUUGCAGAUCUACUUGGGCGGCGAGCGGCGGACGGGUGAGUAAUGCCUGGGAAUAUGCCUUGAUGUGGGGGAUAACUAUUGGAAACGAUAGCUAAUACCGCAUAAUGCCUUCGGGCCAAAGAGGGGGACCUUCGGGCCUCUCGCGUCAAGAUUAGCCCAGGUGGGAUUAGCUAGUUGGUGAGGUAAAGGCUCACCAAGGCGACGAUCCCUAGCUGGUCUGAGAGGAUGAUCAGCCACACUGGAACUGAGACACGGUCCAGACUCCUACGGGAGGCAGCAGUGGGGAAUAUUGCACAAUGGGCGCAAGCCUGAUGCAGCCAUGCCGCGUGUGUGAAGAAGGCCUUCGGGUUGUAAAGCACUUUCAGCAGUGAGGAAGGCGGGUACGUUAAUAGCGUGCUCGUUUGACGUUAGCUGCAGAAGAAGCACCGGCUAACUCCGUGCCAGCAGCCGCGGUAAUACGGAGGGUGCGAGCGUUAAUCGGAAUUACUGGGCGUAAAGCGCAUGCAGGUGGUUUGUUAAGUCAGAUGUGAAAGCCCGGGGCUCAACCUCGGAACAGCAUUUGAAACUGGCAGACUAGAGUACUGUAGAGGGGGGUAGAAUUUCAGGUGUAGCGGUGAAAUGCGUAGAGAUCUG
rnacentral:rRNA from 1 species